rnacentral:rRNA from 1 species
AGCAGCCGCGGUAAUUCCAGCUCCAAUAGCGUAUAUUAAAGUUGUUGCAGUUAAAAAGCUCGUAGUUGAAUUUCGGGGUCAGUAGGUUGGUCGUGCCACCGGUACGUACUGGUCUCACUGAUUCCUCCUUCCUGAUGAGCUGUAAUGCCAUUAAUUUGGUGUUGCAGGGAAUCUGGACUGUUACUUUGAAAAAUUAGAGUGUUUAAAGCAGGCUAACGCUUGAAUACAUUAGCAUGGAAUAAUGAAAUAGGACGUUCGAUCCUAUUUUGUUGGUUUCUAGGAUUGACGUAAUGAUUAAUAGGGAUAGUUGGGGCAUUAGUAUUCAAUUGUCAGAGGUGAAAUUCUUGGAUUUAUUGAAGACUAACUACUGCGAAAGCAUUUGCCAAGGAUGUUUUCAUUAAUACAAGAACGAAAGUUAGGGGAUCGAAG